rnacentral:lncRNA from 1 species
GCCUGUCGGGACUCGAAUGAUGGUGAACUAUGCCUGAGCAGGGCGAAGCCAGAGGAAACUCUGGUGGAGGCCCGCAGCGAUACUGACGUGCAAAUCGUUCGUCUGACUUGGGUAUAGGGGUGAAAGACUAAUCGAACUGUUUAGUGUCAUGGAUUGCGAAGGGAAACUUGCAACCAUGACGGACUUGUGCGAUUUAUCGCUUUUGAGGGAGGUCAUUUGGCCCAAUCAGACUGGUCCAGUGCUUGGAGAGAUUGAAAGCCCAUCUCCAGAGCUUGGCAAAUAUAGAAAGUAAUCUUCAAAGAUAUGCUUGGCAAAUAUGGAAGGGGAUCUUCAAAGAUAUGCGAUCCUAGACUUUAAUGUAAUCUUUAGAAGAUACGAUUCUAUAAUCUUAGAGAUUUGAUAUCUUGAUAGCUUUAGAUCUUAGCCAUUGAUGUAUUUCGAUCUGUACCGUUGAUAUUGGGAAGGCUCAACUAUAAAUAGAGGCCUCUCCCCCUUAUUGUAUUUAUUCAAGUGAUUAAUAGAAUUUUGAGAGCAUUCACUCAAACUUUUCUCUCAAGUGUUCUUAUUUUUCUGUGGCUUUUGUUCAUCUUUUGAGAUCGUUCUUACUUCGUUCUUCUGCUGUUCUUCGUGGGUUCUUUAGAGGAGUUCCAUUGAAUCCUCAAUUGUUGCGAGAUAGGCUGACUUAGGCGUUUUUGAGCGGAGAAACGCUUAAGGCCGCACGAAUUGCUUGGGAAAACUCUAAGUUCGUGACAGCUGGUAUCCGAGCUAGCGUUCGAAGGCACCGUUGAACGAUGUCGAAAGAAGCUGCUGAGAAUGCUGAUGGAAUGGAGACUCGUGGGAGGGCUAGGAAAGCUAGCCGUUCGAGGGACAUACUGUCGGCUUUGGAAGAUCGAGUCGUCACUCUCGAAGAAUCCGUGAGGGAUGUCAAGGAGAGGGUUGAUGAUAUCGAUGAUAAAGUCAAUGAUGGGUUGCAGUCUAUGCAAGAGCAACUCAAAGAGUAUGUGUUGGAUAAUGUUGAGAAGCUGACGAGUAGGGAUGAUGCCAUCGAGACUAUGAUGGUUGGUAAGACUGAUGCCAUGGAGGCUAUGAUAGCGACCUUGAAAGAAGAGAUUGCGGAGCUCAAGGGUGAACUCACAAUCUACAAGGCUACUUUGGACAAUGGAGGGUUGGCUGCUGUCAUACCCAAGCCCAGCGUGAAUGUUCCCAAGCCAAAGGAGUUUAAGGGAACAAGGUCCGCAAGAGAAAUGGACAAUUUCCUGUGGGGAAUCGAGUAAUACUUUCGUGCCAAGGGCAUUGUUGAUGAUGCCCCUAAGGUAAUUACUGCUGGUAUGUAUCUUACUAACAUUGCCUUAUUGUUGUGGCGUCGUAGGUCCACCAAUGUGAGACGUGGUGGGACAGAAAUUGGAACUUGGAAGGAGUUUCAAUAUGAGUUCAAAGCGUAGUUUUACCCUGAGUAUGCCAAGGAUGAAGCUCGGGCAAAGUUGCGUCGGCUUUCAUAACAAGGCACUGUGAGGGAGUAUAUGCAGGAGUUUAGCGAACUCAUGCUUCAAAUUUCUGAUAUGGGUGAGAAAGAGGCAUUCUUUUCCUUCAUGGAUGGGUUGAAACCAUAGGUGAAGUAAGAGUUGCAACGCCGAGGAGUCCAAGAACUUACCAAUGCCAUGUCUGUAGCAGAAUCGUUGGCUGAAUUUGGGGGGAAGAAAGACAGGCCUGAGUCUUUUAAGCCCAAGUCCCAGUCAAAGGGAAAUAGUUGGGGAGACAAAGAAAGGCCCCAUAGAAAUGACAACGGUAAGAAGCCUUGGGACAAAAGGAAGAGUGGGCCUAUAAGGUGCUUCUAUUGUGAUGGACCACACAUGAUUAAGGAUUGUCCAAAGAAGGCUGCGCUCUCCGCUGUGGAAGCAAAAACGGAGUCCGAUGUGGAGGAUAACAAUCUUGGUUCAAUACUAGGGGGUGUUGAAGACAAGAUGAGUUAUGGACUGAUGUUUGCAGACAUCAUGGUAGCUGGCAAAAAGUUGAAUGCACUUGUCGACACAGGUGCGUCUGAUUUAUUUAUGUCCGAAGGGGCUAUGCAUAAACUUGGCCUCAAGAUUGAAAAUGAUCCGGGUCGAAUUAAGACGGUAAAUUCGAAAAGUGUUCCAAUCAAGGGGGUUGCAAAGGGAGUAAAACUCCAAUUUGGCGAUUGGACUGGUACGGCAUCCAUCAAGGUAAUACCACUUGAUGACUAUGAUUUUGUAGGUGGAUUGAGUUUUCUUGAUUAGGUUAAUGCGACGAUUUUUCCUUCUGGUAAUUUCAUGGUGAUUUCGGAUUCGAACCAUCAAUGUAUGGUGAGAUUGACAAGAAAGGGGAGCCUCGAAGGGAAAACAUUGUCCGCAAUCCAAUUUGCUAAGGGAGUACGUAGAGAUGAAGUCUCUUACUUAGCCACUUUGAAGAUUGAGGAAACCGGUAAGAUCGUGGGUGAGGUCCCUAAGGAAGUGGGCCAAGUAUUACAAUCCUUUCGAGAUGUGAUGCCUGCAAAGUUGCCAAAGAAUUUGCCACCUAAGAGGGAGGUGGAUCAUAGGAUCGAAUUGGUGUCCAACAUGGUACCGCCAGCUAAGGCGCCAUAUCGUAUGUCCCCACCGGAAUUGGAGGAAUUACGGAAACAGUUAAAGGAGAUUUUAGAUGCGAGAUUCAUUAGGCCAUCUAAAUCUCUGUAUGGUGCACAGGUACUAUUUCAAAAGAAACAUGAUGGGUCAUUACGGAUGUGUAUUAAUUAUCGGGCCCUAAACAAGAUCACCGUGAGGAAUAGGUACCCUAUUCCCCUCAUUGCAGACUUGUUCGAUCAGCUUGGUAGUGCGAGAUGGUUUACCAAGUUGGACUUAAGAUCGGGGUACCAUCAAGUUAGGAUAGCCGAAGGAGAUGAGCCAAAGACAGCUUAUGUGACACGGUAUGGCUCGUAUGAGUUUUUGGUGAUGCCAUUCGGACUCACGAAUGCCCCAGCUACAUUCUGCACCUUGAUGAAUAUGGUACUUCAACCUUUCCUUGAUCGUUUCGUGGUUGUUUACCUUGACAAUAUUGUGGUGUACAGUAAAUCAGUCGAUGAACGUGUGGAACAUUUGAGGGAGGUGUUCCAAACUUUGAGGGAAAAUGAGUUAUUCAUCAAAAAGGAGAAAUGCACCUUUGCUCAAUGAGAGGUGCCAUUUCUAGGCCACAUUGUGGGAGGUGGCAAGAUCCGAAUGGAUGAAAGCAAGGUUCGGGCCAUUGCCGAAUGGGAGGCUCCAACCAAGGUGAUAGAGUUGAGAUCUUUCCUUGGGUUGGCAAACUACUAUAGACGCUUUAUCGAAGGCUACUCUAGAAUUACCGCACCCUUGACAGACAUGUUGAAAAAGGGUAAGAUAUGGGAUUGGAACCCACAGUGUGAGAGAGCCUUCAAUCAAUUGAAGCAAGUAAUGACAAGUGAGCCCGUACUUGCAUUACCAGAUUACUUGAAGCCUUAUGAAGUACGCACAGAUGCGUCAGAUUAUGCCAUUGGGGGAGUACUGAUGCAAGAGGGUCAUCCCAUUGCUUUCAAAAGUCGAAAGCUUAAUGAGACGGAGCAGAGAUAUACGGUCCAAGAGAAGGAAAUGACCGCUAUGGUGCAUUGCUUGCGCACAUGGAGGCAUUACGUACUAGGUUCCAGGUUCGUGGUCCAUACCGAUAAUGUUGCCAACAGUUAUUUUCUAACCCAGAAAAAGUUGUCUCCCAAACAGGCUCGUUGGUAGGUUUUUCUAGCGAAGUUCGAUUUCACAAUGGAAUACAAGCCAGGAAGUGCCAACAUGGUGGCUGAUGCACUUAGCCGAAAGAUAGAAUUCGCGGCCAUCAGUCAACCCGACGGGUCCCUAUUGGAACACAUUUGAGAAGGGUUGUCCCAUGAACCCACAGCCAAAAGCUUGGUUGAGCUAGCCAAUGAGGGGAAAAUGAGGAGAUUUUAGCUUGAUGGGGAACUACUAUAUACCCAUGGGCACUGCCUCUAUGUGCCUCAUUAUGGGAAAUUGCGCAAGGAAGUCAUGAAAGAAUGUCGUGACUCACGAUGGGCGGGCCAUCCAGGAAUGCACCAUACCUUGGCCCUUUUAGAGGAUCAAUACUAUUGGCCUCACAUGGGUGAAGAUGUGGAGACCUAUGUGAAGACUUGUCUAGUAUGCCAACAAGACAAGGUUGAGUUAAAGAGUCCCGCCGGCUUGCUACAACCCUUGCCUAUUCCGGAAAGGCCAUGAGAGAGUGUAUUCAUGGACUUUAUUGUGGGUUUGCCUAAGUCUGACGGAUUUGCAAGUAUUCUUGUUGUGGUAGACAGGUUUUCAAAGUAUAUAACGUUUAUUCCUGCUACUAAGGAGUGCCAUGCUGAGGAGGCAACUCGCUUAUUUCUUAGACACGUGGUAAAAUAUUGGGGAGUGCCAUUGUCUAUUAUCAGUGAUCGAGAUGGGAGAUUUACGGGCCGGUUGUGAACAGAGCUGUUCAAGUCAAUGGGCUCGGAAUUAAACUUCUCCACAAGCAUGCAUCCACAAACUGAUGGGCAAACUCUGAAUGCAUUGUUGGAGACAUAUCUUCGACAUUAUAUGAGUGCCAUGCAAAGGGAUUGGCCCAAGUUGUUGGAUGUUGCCCAAUUUUCAUACAACUUGCAGCGAAGUGGGGUAACGAACCAAAGUCUGUUCGAGAUAGUGACGCGCCAACAGCCACUCACACCUAAUGCUGUUGCGACCCGUUAUACAGGCCCAAAUCUUGCUGCGUAUCGAUUUGCGAAGGAUUGGCAAGAAAAGAAUGACUUGGCUAGGGCUUGUUUACACAAAGCAAGUAAGUGCAACAAGAAGUGGGCCAAUCAGAAUCGAAAGGAUGUGCAGUUUCAGGUGGGGGACUCAAUCCUUGCCAAACUACACUUGAUGUUGCGAUAUACGGGUUUGCACAAGGGGCUUGUGCGAAGGUAUGAGGGGCCGUUUAAAGUCUUGAAGAGGGUAGGCAAGGUGGCCUACAAACUUGAGUUGCCAGCAAAGCUG